rnacentral:lncRNA from 1 species
UUAUAGCAGAGUGGGUAGGUUACCCUUCUUCUAUACCAGUUGCCGCUUCACCAUUCUCCUCCACCAAUAACUCCAUUAAUCCCCACCACAUGCCGGUGCUCCCUUAUCCUCUUUACUUUUCUUCUAUGUGAUUGAAAUAUACAGUUUGGAAUAUGGGAAUUUCUUUUUUAUUCUAGGGUUUUUGUUGGAAGACACCAAAACAAUGACCAUCAUCUAAUAACCGCACCUACUCCCUUCUCCCCGGGACUCUCCACGGUAACACAUGUAUGCUUCGUUUCUCUCUUCUUCACCCUAUUCUUUUCGAUUUAUUGUUUGAUUUUCAAUUCCUAAUAUCUCUUUUCACAUAAUCAAAUUUUUUACUUAAUUUUUGUUGUUACAGGGUUUUGAUUUUAUGUAAUGGAUUAAAAAUCACAAUUUCAAAAUUCAUCAGCUAAAAGGAAAGCGGUUUUCGUUAAUAUCCAUCUUCAUAUUCUGAUCCUGACUUACUUUUUCUCUCGAUUUGGUUAUCAUUUUUUACUAGAAAAAAUAUGUUUUUUUGGUUGAUUUUCUUACUCUUCCUAUGCAGAAGACGAUAACAACAAGAUAAGAAGGCUCUAUCAAACGUUUUCAAGGUAUCAACAAGUAAAAGGUAACGUCACUACUUUUGUGGUUUGUAGACUUGGCCUCGAGCCCUUACUGCAUCUUCUUUCCAGUUUUUUUUUAGAAUAAAAUGUUAAAUGAAUGAAGCAUACAUAUAGAAUUUGCUUUCCCUAUGUGCCCUGAACCCCGUUUGUAGUCACCAGGUUUAAAAGUGACCUACAUUCUAUGUAUCCAUGGCAGCUACAUGACCCACCUGGUCACCUCUUGUUUUUUUUCACUAAACAUGAUUAUCUAUUUUAUGAUAUAAGGUGUUGAAGACAUCGAUUGGGCCGUAGAGAUGCUCAUAUCCAUUGAUUUGAAGGUUGUUAACAUCCUGCUUGAUUGUGUAAGUCAAGAUUAUAAAAGUAUCUUAUGAUAAUGAAUGGAUUAAAAAAUAAUUUUAAUGAUUAUAAGUAACAAAAGUCUUAUCAUCUACAUUUAUCGUUUCCUCAGUAAUGAAGUUUUGGGUUGUUAGUUUUUGAAAUGGUCCUACAAGAAAAUUGAACUUACCAAUUAUGGUUACCGUAAAAACAUUACCUUCGUAUUACUUCAUGCAAACGUCAUAAAGAGUUAUAAUUUUGGUUCCUGUAGUGUACAUUUUUUAGCUUUGUAAGGGCAGAAUAGUCAUAUUUAUAGUAUUCACAUCUAUCUUGUUUCAUGCAUUCAUGGUGUCUCAUGUUCAAGGCAGUAUAAUUAUCCCAGAACGUGAAGUAGUUAUAAGUGCAAAACCAUGAUUUGGUGGUGGUGUGUGAACUUCACUUUUUCUUUCUCUUUGUUUUAUAUGGUCACCAUUUCUUAACAUUGCUUUCCUCUUGUUUUUGUACAGGUGAAGAAGAAUAUGUGGGUUUUCUUUUCAACUUUUUCACUGUUGUUCUCUGGUAAUGUGAAAGGGGCCUCAUUUUGCUAAUUUUGUGUCUUCGGUGUUUAUGUUUACAUAACCUUUUGGGCUCUUAUCUUCCGAUUUUCGGGUGUAAAAAAUUAUAAAUCUUUUUGCUAUAUUCUUAAAAUGAUAUUGGACUAAGAAAAGAAACAUGUAUAGUAUUAUUCUAGAGUCUAAAUUUUGUUCUUUGUGAUCUGUUUUAGAUUUCUUUUUUUAGAAACAUAAAGAUGAAAUUUUCUUUCCUUGAUAACUUG